rnacentral:rRNA from 1 species
UACGUAGGGGGGCAAGCGUUGUCCGGAAUCAUUGGGCGUAAAGAGCGUGUAGGCGGCCCGAUAAGUCCGCUGUGAAAGUCCAGGGCUCAACCCUGGAAUGCCGGUGGAUACUGUCGGGCUAGAAUUCGGAAGAGGCGAGUGGAAUUCCUGGUGUAGCGGUGGAAUGCGCAGAUAUCAGGAGGAACACCUAUAGCGAAGGCAGCUCGCUGGGACGAUAUUGACGCUAAGGUGCGAAAGCGUGGGGAGCGAACAGG